GACGAACCGUGCGAACGUUGUUCGGAAUAACUGGGCUUAAAGGGUGCGUAGGCGGGUCCGCCAGUCUGUGGUGAAAUCCUCCCGCUCAACGGGAGAACUGCCGUGGAUACUGCGGACCUCGAGGAAGAUAGGGGCGUGCGGAACAGUUGGUGGAGCGGUGAAAUGCGUUGAUAUCAACUGGAACUCCGGUGGCGAAGGCGGCACGCUGGGUCUUUUCUGACGCUGAGGCACGAAAGCUAGGGGAGCAAACGGG
rnacentral:rRNA from 1 species